rnacentral:rRNA from 1 species
CGGGGGAGCAAGCGUUGUUCGGAUUUACUGGGCGUAAAGGGCGCGUAGGCGGCGCAACAAGUCACUUGUGAAAUCUCCGGGCUUUAACCCGGAGCGGCCAAGUGAUACUGUCGUGCUAGAGUGCGGAAGGGGCUACUGGAAUUCUCGGUGUAGCGGUGAAAUGCGUAGAUAUCGAGAGGAACACCUGCGGCGAAGGCGGGUAGCUGGGCCGACACUGACGCUGAGGCGCGAAAGCCGGGGGAGCGAACGGGAUUAGAUACCCCGGUAGUCCUGGCCUUAAACGAUGGAUGCUUGGUGUCCGGGGUUACAUAGUCCCCGGGUGCCGGCGCUAACGCAUUAAGCAUCCCGCCUGGGGAGUACGGUCGCAAGACUG